rnacentral:rRNA from 1 species
GACGGGUUAGUAACGCGUGGGAAUAUACCCUUUGGUACGGAAUAGCCUCUGGAAACGGAGAGUAAUACCGUAUGUGCCCUUCGGGGGAAAGAUUUAUCGCCAAAGGAUUAGCCCGCGUUAGAUUAGGUAGUUGGUGGGGUAAUGGCCUACCAAGCCUACGAUCUAUAGCUGGUUUUAGAGGAUGAUCAGCAACACUGGGACUGAGACACGGCCCAGACUCCUACGGGAGGCAGCAGUGGGGAAUCUUGGACAAUGGGGGCAACCCUGAUCCAGCCAUGCCGCGUGAGUGAUGAAGGCCUUAGGGUCGUAAAGCUCUUUCGCCUGUGAAGAUAAUGACGGUAGCAGGUAAAGAAACCCCGGCUAACUCCGUGCCAGCAGCCGCGGUAAUACGGAGGGGGUUAGCGUUGUUCGGAAUUACUGGGCGUAAAGCGCACGUAGGCGGAUCGGAAAGUUGGGGGUGAAAUCCCGGGGCUCAACCCCGGAACUGCCUCCAAAACUAUCGGUCUAGAGUUCGAGAGAGGUGAGUGGAAUUCCGAGUGUAGAGGUGAAAUUCGUAGAUAUUCGGAGGAACACCAGUGGCGAAGGCGGCUCACUGGCUC